CUUACGCCUCUGGCGUAGAUGCGCACCUCUCCAUCCAACAAUAACAACGUACUCAUACUACUGUAGACAGGUAUAGUCAGCCCCUUUUCUCCCGAGGACGUUGGCCAAACGUCAUAGAGCCAAAUGAUAUUGUAAGUACAAUAGCAAUGUAUAGAAGACCACUCACGUGAAAUCAGAUAGUGCAAACCAACUCAUUGUUGAAACUAAAUUAUAUACUUUUCUAUAUCAAUUAUUCCGUAUUUGAAGUGUGGAUAGGUAAUUAAUAAUAUUUCUUUGAAAUAGUGCUAUAUUGAUAUUAUUGAAACUUAUUUUUCUCUAGUAGUGUUGGUUUAUAUCCAAGUGAAUUACCUCUAACCUAAAAGCUACAAUAUUCUUAUCAUACAUGCAAGGUAAUUGUUAUUAACUAAUUAGUGAACAUAACUAUGUACAAACUAUUUACACAAUGCUGUUUCAGCACGGAUAUACGCUAGAAUUGUCAGUACCCAAAAAGCAUCAACCUCGAUUCUCGUUCUAAGUGCCCAGUAAUAUGCCCGUACACCUUGCACAGCGGGACUAAACGUGAGUACAAAUGGUUAAAAUUUUAAGAACUAUAGAUUAUCAUUGAGCGGCAUCGAACCGAAUUAGUAUCUGCCCGAAAUGUUAGCUAAUUCAGGAUAUGAUAUACCAUUUCAGGAAUAUAAUAAUACUCCGAUUACGAACGUAAAACCUGUGUUUCCGGUUGUUCCCACCGGUAUUAUUAUCUCGGAAAUUAUCCCGUGCAAUUCGUUGGCAACUUCCAACAACUUAUUAUAUUCGUUUACGACGAGUAUACGCAGUCAUAUUCGGUCAUGUCGGGUCGAGGUCGGUCAAAUAAAGGCAGUAAUGCCGGCGGUAGUGAUAGUGGUGCAAUUGGUGGUGUGAAAGUGGUGGUCACCGACGAAACAGUGGAACCAGAGGCGUCCUUUCCUGGUCGGUCGUGCAGAGUUUGCCGUACGGAUGAUUCGGAUGAAAUGGUGAGGUGUGACAAAUGUCUGAAGUGGUUCCACUUCUCCUGCGUGGGAGUUACCCAAGCCAUCGAAAACGAUCCCUGGAGUUGUAAGGAUUGUGCGAAUGUGGAGCAGGUUCCGGAGUGGCUGGUGAACCCGUGUGAUGGUGGCGCCAAAAAGAAGCUUGCUGCAGAACUCGAUAGCGACAAGCUGAACCUUCCACCUCUUCAAGAGCAAGAUGACCCGCUAACUCCCAAAACGUCGAAAGCUAGCAAGGUUGGUGGACAGGCGGAAAGUAAGAGGAACGAGAAGAAGGCGGCGCCGAAAGGAAGAUCCCAUACAUCCGAGCAACCACCUGCGGACCAGAAGCAGCUGAGAGGAGCCAACUUACUGCAAUCGAAGGAGAUCGACAAGCAACCGACGAAGGGGAACAAUAAGUCGUCGGCACGUGGUAGCCACCAGGCAUCACCAAAAGAAACUGGCGAAAAACCACCGACAAGCUUCGGAAAAGCGAGGUCUGUCGUAUCCCACGCGUCCAGCCGAGCAUCUAGUAGGUCCUCACAAUCUCUUGCCAAGCUGAAGCUGCAGAAGCUUGAAGAGGAGAGGAUCCUGAACGCGAAGAAGCUGGAGCAAGAACAAGCCUACCUGGAGGAGAAAUAUAGGCUGCUGGAGGAGAUGGUUAGUGAGAGAGGAUCUGAUGUUAACAGCGUGUCGGAUGCCGUAAGCGAAUGGCGUCCCCGAGCGCAAUCGAGUCACCGCUCGCAGCAGGGAGAUCAGCGGUCAGCCCAACACGAACCUUUUGAUCUUGGCGCCAAUUCCCCGGGCAACCUCAGAUGUAGGUCAUUCGUUGAAGAACAACGCAGCGUGCACCGAGAAGUCCCACACUUCGUCAACCGUGUUACAGAACGUGAAGAAGAUUGCUGCCCGUUAACCAAGAAGCAGUUGGCGGCCCGGCAGGCUGUUUCCAAGGAUCUGCCCCAGUUUUCCGGCAACCCCGAGGAUUGGCCGUUAUUCAUAGCGACGUUCAACAACACCACGGCAAUGUGCGGCUUUACGAACGAAGAGAACAUCUACCGACUGCAGAAAAGCCUCAAAGGGCGAGCCUUCGAAGCAGUGAAGAGCCGUCUAGUACAUCCUUCGAACGUUCCCGGUGUGCUGAAGACCCUGAGAAUGAUGUUUGGGCAGCCAGAAGCCAUCGUGCACACACUUGUAGAAAAAAUCAACUCCCUGCCGGCCAUAAGAGAAGAUAAGCUGGAAACUCUGGUGGACUUCGCCGUAAAUGUGGAGAAUUUUUGUGCGACCGUGGACGCCUGCGGCCUAGAUGAAUAUCUGUACAACACCACCCUCCUACAUCAGCUUGUGAGCAAGUUACCUCCAACGAUCAAGCUAAAUUGGGCGCAGUACAGGAUUUCUCUGCCCGGAGUCAACCUAGCAGCAUUUAGCACCUGGAUGUAUUCUCUCGCCGAAGCUGCCAGUGCAGUGAAUAUUCCGUCCAUCACGAAUACACGACCAAUGCGGUGCGACAGCCGUAAUACAAAAAAAGCCUUCGUAAACGCUCAUUCCGAGAGCACUUCGGCGGAACCACGCCCACCGAAUCCUCCGAGUGGAAAGAAUCCCAGCCCAGGCGGCGACUGUAUCGUUUGCAAGGGCACUUGUGAGACAGUAGAAAAAUGCAAGCGCUUUCUUGACUAUUCUCGAGACACACGUUGGGCUGUAGUUCGAGACUUUGCACUGUGUCGUCGCUGCCUCUGCCGUCACAAUGGAUUAUGCCAGGCUAAGCUAUGCGGUAAGAACGGAUGUCAGUUCAAGCACCAUGCGUUGCUGCACAACGAUCAAAAACAGCCAUCGUCAGCUACUCCGGUAGCGCCAUCCUCUUCAACAGCAGUGUCUUCAGCGGCGGAAACUAACGAAUCCCCAAAGGCCGGCUCCAGCUCAACAGCGCACGGUUGCCACACGCACCAGGCUAAAUCAAGCGACGUACUGUUUCGCUACCUUCCGGUAGUGCUGCAUGGUAAACACCGAUCGAUCCGUACAUACGCCUUCCUUGACGAUGGCUCCGAUCUUACGUUACUCGAUGAAGAGCUAGCCGAUGAACUAGAACUGGAUGGGGAAGUACGAUCGCUUUGUCUGCACUGGACCGGUGGCACUCAACGGCAAGAAGUGAAGUCCAAGAUCGUUGAACUGGAGAUAGCCGGUGUUCACAGUGGAGCUAGAAGUUUCGCUAUCAGCGGUGCACGCACAGUGAACGAGCUUCUUCUGCCGUACCAGACCCUGAACAUCGAUGAACUGUCAACGCUAUAUCCACACCUGCAAAGACUUCCAAUCGAUUCGUACCGAAAUGUCCGACCGCGGAUUCUGAUUGGACUCAAGAACCAACAUCUCAGUCUCGCUCUGAAGUGCCGCGAAGGGAAGCCGAAGGACCCUGUCGCCAUUAAAACCCGUUUAGGCUGGACAGUGUGUGGCGGAGAAACAUCAGAGUCUGCAACCAGCCCAGUGCACUCUAUCUACCACAUUGGAUCCUGCGAGGACCACAACAAGGCAGAUGAGGAUCUACACCAGGUUAUCAAAGACUACUUCGCGCUAGAUAGCUUGGGGAUCAUGAAACCGAACAGAGCGCUUCUUUCCGUCGAUGAUCAGCGCGCGCAGUCUCUUCUCCAGUCGUUGACGAAAUUCACGGGGGAACGCUACGAAACUGGUCUGCUUUGGCGUCACGAAACCACUCGUUUACCGGACAGUCAAGGAAUGGCUCAUCGUCGGUUCCAGUGCCUCGAAAAACGCAUGAGCAAGGACGACACGCUUGCCAAAACGUUGAGGGAAAAGAUGGCGGAUCACCUGGCCAAAGGCUACGUACGAAAACUAUCCGAUGACGAGCUGCAACAAGCUUUUCAACGCGUUUGGUAUCUCCCAGUGUUCCCGGUAACUAACCCAAACAAACCAGGGAAGGUGAGAAUAGUUUGGGAUGCGGCAGCCAAGGCUUUCGGAGUAUCAUUGAACUCCGCUUUAUUGAAAGGUCCUGACAAUCUUUCUUCGUUGUUCACCGUGCUGAUCCGCUUCCGUGAGCAUCCCGUAGCGCUGACAGGUGAUAUACGUGAGAUGUUUCACCAGGUUCGCAUUCAAAAAGACGAUCAACAUUGCCAGCGAUUCUACUGGAGAGACGAAGAUGGAAAAACAGCUGUAUACGUCAUGUGCGUCAUGACAUUUGGCGCCUGCUGUUCCCCUAGCAGUGCACAGUACGCAAUGAAUUUGAACGCCAAGCGCUUCGAUGAAGAGUAUCCAGAAGCUGUGGAAGUCAUCGAGAAGCAGCACUACGUCGACGAUAUGCUCGUGAGCGUCGACACCGAAGAGGAGGCUAUUAAACUCGCGGAGGAUGUCAGGUUCGUGCAUUCGCAGGGCGGAUUCGAAAUCCGAAAUUGGACCAGCAAUUCGCAACGUGUAUUAGAAGCUCUUCACGGCAGUAGCGCCGAGGAGAAGAGUUUGGACCUCUCGCCAGAAAUGACAGCCGAAAAGGUGCUUGGGAUGUGGUGGUGUACAGCUGCCGACGUUUUCACCUUCAAAGUCGGUUGGAACCGUUACGACCAAGAUUUGUGGAAAGAUCUCCGUCAGCCUACAAAACGAGAAGUUCUCCGGGUUCUCAUGACGAUAUUCGACCCCCUUGGGCUCAUCGCACCCUUUCUAAUGUUCCUCAAGAUCCUGCUACAAGAAAUUUGGCGAAGCGGCAUCCAGUGGGACGAUCGAAUCGAUGACAACGCCUUCAUCAAGUGGCGUAGUUGGCUGCAGGUCCUGCCCCAAGUUGAGCAAGUCCAAAUACAACGAUGUUUCCGUCCCCACGUGAAUCCUGCAUACGACGAUGUUCAGCUGCACACCUUCGUUGAUGCGAGCGAAAACGGCAUGGCUGCUGCAUGCUUCCUGAGAUUCGUCCGGAAUGAAGUCGUCUGGUGCUGUCUAGUAGCUGCCAAAACAAGAGUAGCUCCCUUACGAUAUCACUCGAUUCCGAGACUCGAGCUCAUGGCAGCGGUUAUUGGCACAAGACUAUCCCAAACAGUUAACGAUUCCUUGACCUUCAACGUCAGCAAGCGAUUCUAUCACUCGGAUUCUAGGGACGUCAUCUGCUGGCUGCAUUCGGACCACCGUCGCUAUACACCUUUCGUUGCCUGCCGAGUCAGCGAGAUCCUGGAGACUACAGAGCAGAACCAGUGGCGGUGGGUCCCGACAAAGCUCAAUGUGGCAGACGACGCGACAAAAUGGGAGAAAUUUCCAGACAUGACUUCAGAGUCGAGAUGGUUCAUCGGCCCGGACUUUCUGCGGUUGCCAGAAGAAGCAUGGCCGUGCCAAUCAGUGAAAGGUGGCAAGACAGAUACCGAACUUCGUCCACGUCUGCUAACUCACUUUACCUUGCCGGACCCUGCGAUCAACGUCUCCAGCUGGAAGCGGAUGCUAAAGGUAGCCGCACUAGUUCAUCGUUUCCCUGCAAACUGCCGAUUAAAAAUGCAACGGAAACCUAUCCUUUGUGGUCCUCCAUCCACAGAGGAACUCCAGCUUGCUGAACGCUACAUAAUCCAACAAGCACAACGUGAAGUAUACCCAGAAGAAACAGCUAUCCUUCUAGACUCGACGAAAUCCAUACCCAGGAACAGUUCCCUAUUCAAGCUAAGCCCUUUGUUGGACGACUACGGGUUGAUGCGGAUGCGAGGAAGAAUCUCUGCCUGUGCCCAAGCCAUCGAAGACUCCAAAAAUCCGAUCAUCCUUCCACGUGACCACCACACCACCAAACUCAUAAUCGCACACUAUCACAAUAAAUAUAAUCACCAGAACCAUGAAACCGCAAUAAAUGAACUCCGUCAGAGGUACUGCAUACCUCGGCUUCGAGCAACCUACGCAAAGGUACGCUUCAAUUGCCAACACUGCAAAAACUACCGUGCCGUUCCGCAACCUCCAAUGAUGGCCGAACUGCCGCCUGAGCGACUCGAUGCCUCCGCUCGACCCUUCACCCAUAUUGGCGUCGACUACUUCGGGCCAAUGGAAGUCGUCGUAGGCCGCCGAGUGGAAAAACGAUGGGGAAUGUUGAUCACGUGCCUGACCAUACGCGCGAUCCACAUCGAAGUGGUACAUACGUUAAGUACCGACUCCUGCAUCAUGGGUCUUCGCAAUUUUGUAGCACGCCGAGGUACACCAAAGACCAUCUACAGCGAUCGCGGAACUUGCUUCAUCGGAGCAAGUCGUGAAUUAGUAGAGCUGGCCACGACGAUCAACCAAGACGAGAUGAUGAAGGAGUUUUGCGGAACCGAAACGACCUGGAAGUUCAACCCCCCGGCGUCACCCCACAUGGGAGGCAGCUGGGAACGCUUGAUAGGUAUCGUUAAGCGUAAUCUGGCGGCAAUUCGUCCUCCACACAAGCCCAACGACGAAGUGCUGCGCAACCUUCUAGUUGAGAUCGAACACACCGUUAACUCUCGGCCUCUGACGCACGUACCGGUCGAUGAUGAAUCGGCACCCGCACUCACUCCAAAUCAUUUCCUCGUGGGCUCAUCUGACGGAACGAAGCCGUUAUGUACCCUAGACGACACCGGAGUGACUCUUCGGCGGACCUGGAAAAUGUCUCAACAACUGGCCAACCGAUUCUGGAAGCGUUGGUUGACCGACUAUUUGCCGGAGAUCACACGUCGAACGAAGUGGUAUGCCGAUACAAAGCCGAUAGCGAUUGGAGAUGUUGUAGUGAUUGUUGAUCCUAAACUGCCACGUAACUGCUGGCCGAAGGGUAGGAUCAUCGUAACCAGCGUCAACCAGAAGGACAACCAAAUCAGGUCGGCAACCGUGCGGACUGCGGCUGGAGUUUUUGAACGUCCCGUAGCUAAGCUGGCCGUAUUGGAUGUACGGCGCGAUGAACCGUAAGCCGACCAGAGCAUCGGCGUACCUGGGGGGAGUGUUACUUACGCCUCUGGCGUAGAUGCGCACCUCUCCAUCCAACAAUAACAACGUACUCAUACUACUGUAGACAGGUAUAGUCAGCCCCUUUUCUCCCGAGGACGUUGGCCAAACGUCAUAGAGCCAAAUGAUAUUGUAAGUACAAUAGCAAUGUAUAGAAGACCACUCACGUGAAAUCAGAUAGUGCAAACCAACUCAUUGUUGAAACUAAAUUAUAUACUUUUCUAUAUCAAUUAUUCCGUAUUUGAAGUGUGGAUAGGUAAUUAAUAAUAUUUCUUUGAAAUAGUGCUAUAUUGAUAUUAUUGAAACUUAUUUUUCUCUAGUAGUGUUGGUUUAUAUCCAAGUGAAUUACCUCUAACCUAAAAGCUACAAUAUUCUUAUCAUACAUGCAAGCACGGAUAUACGCUAGAAUUGUCAGUACCCAAAAAGCAUCAACCUCGAUUCUCGUUCUAAGUGCCCAGUAAUAUGCCCGUACACCUUGCACAGCGGGACUAAACGUGAGUACAAAUGGUUAAAAUUUUAAGAACUAUAGAUUAUCAUUGAGCGGCAUCGAACCGAAUUAGUAUCUGCCCGAAAUGUUAGCUAAUUCAGGAUAUGAUAUACCAUUUCAGGAAUAUAAUAAUACUCCGAUUACGAACGUAAAACCUGUGUUUCCGGUUGUUCCCACCGGUAUUAUUAUCUCGGAAAUUAUCCCGUGCAAUUCGUUGGCAACUU